AGAGGGCGCAUGAGACAUGGUUCCAGGUCCUACGGGACGCAGCAGGCGCGAAAACUCCACAAUGCACGAAAGUGCGAUGGGGUUAUCCCGAGUGCCGUCUGAUGAAGAUGGCUUUUCACUGGUGUAAUGAGCCAGUGGAAGAAGGGGAGGGCAAGACUGGUGUCAGCCGCCGCGGUAAUACCAGCUCCCCGAGUGGUGGGGACGAUUACUGGGCCUAAAGCGUUCGUAGCCGGCUUAACAAGUCUUCCGUUAAAUCUGGCGACCCAAUCGUCAGGCUGCGGGGGAUACUAUUAGGCUAGGGGGCGGGAGAGGUCGACGGUAUUCUUGGGGUAGGGGUGAAAUCCUAAGAUCCUGAGAGGACCACCAGUGGCGAAGGCGGUCGACCAGAACGCGCCCGACGGUGAGGGACGAAAGCUGGGGUAGCGAACCGGAUUAGAUACCCGGGUAGUCCCAGCCGUAAACGAUGCAGGUUAGGUGUUGGAGCGGCUACGAGCCGCUUCAGUGCCGCAGGGAAGCUAUUAAGCCUGCCGCCUGGGGAGUACGGUCGCAAGACUGAAACUUAAAGGAAUUGGCGGGGGGAGCACCACAAGGGGUGAAGGCUGCGGUUCAAUUGGAGUCAACGCCCGAAAACUUACCGGGGGAGACAGCAGGAUGAAGGUCAUAUUGAAGGUCUUACCAGACCAGCUGAGAGGUGGUGGCAUGGCCGUCGCCAGUUCGUGCCGUGAGGGGGCCUUGUUAUUCAGGAAACGAACGAAA
rnacentral:rRNA from 1 species